ACACUGAGAAAGCGGCCUUCUUUUGCCGUGCAUAUGAUGAGGACAGCCAGGGCAUCUUAUGCACCCCUGAAGUAGUCCCAUCCACCGCAUCUGUAUCAGUUCAGAAUGUAUAUCCUUCUCAGACCGUAAUCUGGCCAGGGAGCGGACUGUUUGAAGCAGGUGACGAAGCAAUACUAGACAGCGUUUUGGAUUACGAGAACGAGAGUGGACUUCUAUCUCUAUCUGAAAUUCAUGCAACAGACAGGCCCGAGACACCUCCGACUAACGAGUGCAGACCAGAACCCGCUCACAAGGUGGACAAGGCUACUUGUACCAGCGAAGACGGUGUCUACCCGCUACUCGUCAUACCCGACACGCCAGAAAAGCAAGUCAGACAACCGGCUAACACUAAAGAAGCUGACACUGACGGAGGACCA